rfam:Colletotrichum sublineola strain TX430BB Scaffolds0597.1, whole genome shotgun sequence.
GGUCUGGUGGUGUAGUUGGUUAUCACGUCAGUCUAACAUUUCGAGGCGACUCGAUCUAAGUACACUGAAGGUCUCCGGUUCAAGUCCGGGCUAGAUCA